rnacentral:rRNA from 1 species
GACGUAGGGCGCGAGCGUUGUCCGGAUUUAUUGGGCGUAAAGAGCUCGUAGGCGGCUUGUCGCGUCGUCCGUGAAAACCCACAGCUCAACUGUGGGCUUGCGGUCGAUACGGGCAGGCUAGAGUUCGGUAGGGGAGACUGGAAUUCCUGGUGUAGCGGUGAAAUGCGCAGAUAUCAGGAGGAACACCGGUGGCGAAGGCGGGCUACUGGGCCGAUACUGACGCUGAGGCGCGGAAAGCCAGGGGAGCAAACGGG